ensembl:lncRNA
GUCUGACUCAGUGACCCGAUGGACUGCAGCACGCCAGGCUCCUCUGUCCAUGGGACUCUCCAGGCAAGAAUGCUGGAGUGGGUUGCUGUGCCCUCUUCUGGGGGUUUCUUCCUGACCCAGAGAUUAAAGCUGCAUCUCUUAUUCUUUACCACUAGCACCACCUGGGAAGCCUCUCCAUCACAACACACAUCACACUGGAUCGUUGUCAUUUAUGAGGUCAUCUUGUCUUUCUCCACUGCUAGACUGUGUACCCAGGAAGGCGAGGAUGGUCUUUAAUCCACAGUAAUAGCUGGUGUAGUUGAGGACCCAGCACACUUUCUAGCCAUACUAGGCUCUCACUAAACCUUUGUUGAAUAACAAACUCUGGUGUGAGUCCUAGACUAUUCUUAGGCCCCAAGACGAUAGUUGUAGAUCUUUCCUUUUGCAGUGCAUUCUACCUGUUGAAUUGGGUGACUUCUCCCCACCCUGACACGUAAUGCCAGCUCUUAAAGCAAUGACUUCUGAACUUGAAUGACCAGUAGAACUGGGUGGAUGACUUUAUAAAAACACAGAUUUGCAAGCCCAGCCCAGGUCUAUCAAGUAAGGAUCUUUCUAAGGAGUUAACCUCAGCAUUGUGUUCGUUUCUGCUGUGCAACAAUGUGGAUCAGCCGUAAGUAUAGUAAGUAUACACAUGUCCCCUUCCUCUUGAGCCUCCCUCCCACUCAACCUGCAUCCCACCCCUCUAGGUCAUCA